rnacentral:ncRNA from 2 species
AAAUAUUUCAGAAACGAUGAGAAUUCAUCUUAAUUUGGGCACUUUGAUGGAUUUGAGUUAGUAGUGCAACCGGCUGACAUCAUA